AUUGAACGCUGGCGGCAUGCCUAACACAUGCAAGUCGAACGAGUGGCAGACGUGUGAGAAAUGUCUGGGAAACUGCCUUAUGAAGGGGGAUAACUACUGGAAACGGUAGCUAAUACCGCAUACCAUCAGAUGUGCCAAGAAUGGAUUAGCCUGUUGGUGGGGUAACGGCUCACAAAGGCGACGAUCCCUAGCUGGUCUGAGAGGAUGACCAGCCACACUGGAACUGAGACACGGUCCAGACUCCUACGGGAGGCAGCAGUGGGGAAUAUUCCGCAAUGGGCGCAAGCCGGAUGCAGCAAUGCCGCGUGUAUGAAGAAGGCCUUCGGAUUGUAAAGUACUGUCAGUGGGGAAGCGUUACCCGAAGAGAAAGCCCCGGCUAACUACGUGCCAGCAGCCGCGGUAAUAC
rnacentral:rRNA from 1 species